GGUUGCAAAAAGCAACUAAUCAGAAGUACUUUAUCUUAUCCCUUUUUCCAAUUUCUGUCUUUUUCUUCUUGAUUUGCAGGAGUUCCUUGAAUUUUCUAGGCACUCAUCCCUUGUCAGCUUUGGAUAUUCCAAGUAUGUUCUACCAUUCUGUCCUCUGUCUACAGGGAUACGCCAGACACACUGUGGUUCAGCCCAGACUACUGCAGUAAGGCAAAUACUGCAAUAAACUCUCAGCAACCUGGCUUAGAGGCUUCACUAGGAAGAUGUGUCCUCCUCCAUCCCAGCAUUCUGCAGGAAAAUUCAUGCAAUUCAUGUAACCUGCUGCUUGGCACAUGGCGACGUCUCGAUUGAUGGCGGCUACUGCUCCUUCCACCUGGCUGCCCACUAGGGGGACACAAGACAGGAAAGGAAAGAGCUCUGCUGAUGGUCGGAAGGUAACACGGUACCAUCCUCUGUGAGCAGUAAAGCCGAAGAAGCCAAACCUAAUGAGCUCGCACUCCACUUUCAGGAUAUUUAGAAAAGUUCCCAUGGAGAGACAAGGAGGCAAGACCAAGCAUGUUCAUUACAGCAUUGUUUGUUACGAGGAAAAAUGGAAAUAACCUAAAUGUCCCAGAAUAAGAGAACUAGUAAAUAUACUGUGAUAUUUAUACAGCCAAUAGCAUACAGAAGAGGAAAAUGAAUGAAACAGAAACACAAGGAAAAACUUCAGAAGUAUAAUAUUGAGGGAAAGAAACCGAUUGCAGAAUAACACGUGCAGGGUGAUAGUAACCUCUUAUUAAGUUUCAAACACAUAAAACAGCAGUGUGGAUUGUAUCGGCACACAUACAUGUAGAGAAGUAUAAACAUAUAUAUGGGAGUAAUACAGAUACAUUCAGAACCAUGAUUACUUUAGGGAGAGGAUAUAUUUAGGGACCCUCGACUGUAUCUAUUUUACUUUUUUAAAGGAUCUGAAGUAAAUGUGGGACAAAAUGUUAAGAUCUGAUAAAGCUGGUUUGUGGGUGCAUGGGUAUUUUUACAUUAUUCUCCAUAUACAUUUAAAAAGUCUGUAAUAUUCCAUAAUAAAAACAACUAAUUAAAGGUCUUACACGUUGAAA